rnacentral:rRNA from 1 species
ACGCUCGACACCUACGGGAGGCGGCAGUGGGGAAUAUUGCACAAUGGGGGAAACCCUGAUGCAGCAACGCCGCGUGAAGGAAGACGGUUUUCGGAUUGUAAACUUCUGUUCUUAGUGAAGAUAGUGACGGUAGCUAAGGAGCGAGCCACGGCUAACUACGUGUCAGCAGCCGCGGUAAUCUGAGCGGGCUGGCAAGGC